rnacentral:lncRNA from 1 species
AAAAAAUAGAGUGGCUUAAUGAAAGCAUCCGUUAAAAAUAAUUCGCCAUUAUAUUAACAGAUCGGUGUGCUUUAGA